rnacentral:rRNA from 1 species
UACGUAGGGGGCAAGCGUUAUCCGGAUUUACUGGGUGUAAAGGGAGCGUAGACGGCAGAGCAAGUCCGGAGUGAAAGCCCGGGGCCCAACCCCGGGACUGCUCUGGAAACUGUUAAGCUGGAGUGCGGGAGGGGCAGGCGGAAUUCCUGGUGUAGCGGUGAAAUGCGUAGAUAUCAGGAGGAACACUGGCGGCGAAGGCGGCCUGCUGGACCGUGACUGACGUUGAGGCUCGAAAGCGUGGGGAGCAAACAGG